rnacentral:lncRNA from 1 species
GCCUCCUCUACUUGCUCUCGAUCACGCCGUCUCGACAACGGCACACGGAGAAUGUGGAUUGCACAAAGUGGCGCCGUGAUCUCGCCGGAUUGCAGCACCACGGGGUGCCUUUGACCCUAAACGCCUAAACGCGCCUAAAUCCUAAACUCUCUGCGGUUCAAAAGCAUCCAAGCGGGCCUCACCAGCUUUGCUUGGUUGCAAAAGUACAUCCCACGCACCAAGUAAGCUUAAGUUCUCACAUUGUUUCUCUUGUCUCCAACAGAAUCCAGUAAAUUCGAACAAGAAUCUCCUAGAAUCGGACCUCUCUGCCAAUGGAAGGCCAACACAACUCCAUGCAUUGGCUCUGGAACAGGAGAAACGAGCCACAAUGCCCCUCACUCCCCUCGCACGGGUCUGGCACAGCAAAUCUCC